rnacentral:lncRNA from 1 species
AUGGAGUACUGGAACGGCUCCAGAGCCGAGCCCACCCGGCUCAGGGCUCCUGUGUCCUCCUACAAGUCGAUCACUAAGGUGGAGAAACUCACCGAGCAUGGCUUCAAGGUGGUUCCGGGGUGCUCCAAGUGCCUGACGACGGCGCUGCAGCCGUUACGCACAGCGGGCUUGAGGAUCCUGUUCUAUUUAGACGACCUGCUCCUCCUGGCCCAUUCUCAGACGGAAACGGAGUCGCAAACGAGGACGCUGGCACUGCAUCUGAUCACUCUGGGCUUCUCCAUAAACUGGGAGAAGAGCUCCGUGUUCCCAUUCCAGUCCAUCGUGUUCCUGGGCGUGGCCCUGGACUCUGGCUCCAUGACAGCCUGUCUCUCCCGGGAGAGAGCAACGGACUUGAAUGCCCUGACCCACCGUGUACGACCACAGUGCACAGUCACGGUGCUGUCGGUAAGGAGACUUCUGGGCAUGAUGGCGGCGGCCCACGUUGUGGUGCCGCUCGGUUUAUUACACGAGGCACAUUCAACACUGGUUCAAUCACCUCAAGGUGGACCCCAUAUGCCACAAAAGGCGCAUGACACUCGUCCCUUCUUCAGUGAAGGGAGACCUGCAGCACUGGUCAAACCCCGACACCCUGCAGCAGGGGGUUCCUCUCGGGCAAGUGACGUCACACGUGUCUGUGUUCAUGGAUGCAUCCCUGUCGGGGAGGGGGGGCACGUGCUUAUCCCAUUCUGUGGGCGAUCAGUGGCCGCCCCAAACGAAAGUCCACAUAAACCUUCUGGAGCUCAUGUCAGUGCAGAAUGUGACCCUACAUUUCGCCCCCCUCCUCCGGGACUAGCAUGUCCUGAUCCACACGGACAACCAAGUCGCUGCAGCCUACAUAAAUCGCUAGGGUGGGACUCGAUCAGCCUCACUCCUGAGCGUGGCCAGGGAGUUAUUGUGCUGGGCUCAAGCCAACCUCAUGUCAAUCAGAGCUGUGUACAUUCCGGGAAUCCUGAAUGUAGGUGCGGACAUCAUGUCCUGGGGGGGGUGGGGGUCCACGUCACUCGGGAGUGGCGGCUCCAUCCCGACCUGAUAUCUCAGGUCUGGACCAAGUUCGGAUGUGUGGCUGUGGACCUGUUUGCAUCUCGCGAGAACACACAAUGCCCCCUGAGAUUUUCUCUCAGACCACAAGAUCUUCCACCACUGGGGGUGGACACCUUUGCUCACAAACCCUGGCCCGAACUCUUACUCUACGCUUUUCCUCCAGCCCCUCUGAUCCCCCAGCUUCUGGACCGGAUCAGAUCGGAAAAACUCUCGAAAAUCUUGGUGGCUCCCCGUCGCACCUCAGCGUCCUGGUUUCUAGAUUUGCAGACGCUGUUGGCGGCGCGUCCUUGGAAGAUCCCAUGGAGGGUCGACGCGCUCUUGCAGGCGGGGGGGUAG